GGAGUCAGAAGAAACAAGACGAGGACACGCCUCCUGUGACUUGACCUGCUCACACUGUAUCCCAUCAUGCAUCUGGAGACGUCCUUUAACAGAAACCCUGAAUUUAUCAAUUGAUCCUGAUCAUGUUUCUGUAGAAUCAUUGAUCCAGAGAAUCUGACGCUGAUGUGAAGGAUGUUGAUCAAAGGAAGGAUUCUACAUUCGACUCAACAUCACAACAGUCCGUCCCACAGAGACUCAACAUCACGUCCUUCAUGUGAGAGGCUUUAGUGUUUGGAGGUGAACCAGGUGUUGAAGGUGAGGACGGAUUCAACCAGUGUCCAGGCUUCAGAUGUCCAUGCUGAGUUUCCUCAGCAGGAGGCGCUGUUGUGCUUUUUGUAAACUAGGUCGUGUGACGGUGUUUGGACGGAGCGUUGUCGGCUGAGCCACCAGGGCCACGUUUAUUUAUAUGAUACGUGAGUUUGAGUCCGAAAUCAAACGUGUUCUCGUCAAGAACCAGAACGUUCAGUGUUUUUCAUGUCAACGAGUCACGAGUCCCACAAAUCAAACACACAGUAGACAAAAGAUCUGAGUCAUCAAAGGAACAAUAGUUCAAAUCUGAUGAUCGUUUUAUUAACGAGCGUUAAUAAAACGUUGUGUUUCUCCUCCACAGACUCAAAGUGCUGCUCAUGGUUCACCUGUUGGUUUCUCUAGAUGAAGAAGAUCUGAAGCUCUUCACCUUCUCUGUGAAGAGUCUGGAGUUCAUGGAUGUUAGGAUUUGGUGCCACACAAAUAAAACUGAAUUGAAUUGUC